GCACACUGAGUGCACAGCCUGAGCAAGACAAACACCAAACAGAGUACUGCUGACAGUACAUGCUGUCAUCGUUAAGACAGCAUCUCUUAGCAUUAGUCUCGGUUGUGCCUGAAGAAGGAACUUUUAGAUGUGAGAUUCCCAUUAGAGAGACUCCAAUUCCUUUUGAGGGACUCUCCCAGCCUAGCACUCUGGGACUCCUGUUGACCAGCUAUGCUCUCAGUGACCCUCCUCUUGCUUGGAAUGCCUCUCACCUUGAGAGGAGGUGGAGCCCAGUCAGUGGCCCAGCCUGACCAUCAUGUCACUGUCGCUGAAGGACACGCUCUGCUGCUGAAGUGCAAUUAUACCCAUAGUGUAACACCUUACCUCUUCUGGUAUGUCCAGCGACCUGAAAAAGACCUCCAGCUCCUCCUGAAAUAUGUACCAGGGUCAUCUGUAGUUACAGGCACCAGAGGUUUCAAGGCUGAGUUUAAGAAGAGUGAAACCUCCUUUCACCUGCAGAAAUCCUCAGCCCAGGGGAGCGACGCGGCCAUGUACUUCUGUGCCCUGAGUGACACAGUGCCUGAGACUGCAGGGGGAGCCGAACACAAACUUCUAGAAACACAGGACUUUCUGUGAGGCGAGAGCAAGACGUGAUCUGUUUUUAGCAAGCUCUCUGAAGUGAUGAAAGUGAGCAGGGGAGCAGCGGAGACCUGGGAGAUGCUAGACUCCUGCGAAGAACUGGAAUUU